UGGCGGACGGGUGAGUAAUGUCUGGGAAACUGCCUGAUGGAGGGGGAUAACUACUGGAAACGGUAGCUAAUACCGCAUAACGUCGCAAGACCAAAGAGGGGGACCUUCGGGCCUCUUGCCAUCGGAUGUGCCCAGAUGGGAUUAGCUAGUAGGUGGGUAACGGCUCACCUAGGCGACGAUCCCUAGCUGGUCUGAGAGGAUGACCAGCCACACUGGAACUGAGACACGGUCCAG
rnacentral:rRNA from 1 species